GCCUGGCUGCUGGGGAGCUGAACAGAGUACCUAAAGUGGAGCAGGGCUGGGGGAGCGCCAGCCUGGAAACCCCCCAGGCUGCAGGCCUUGUGAAAAGCUGGAAAGAGUAUGGAGGUUGUAGAGGGACAGCCCAAGGGUAGGCAGAGGCAGCAGGUCCAAACCCCACCUUGCUGAUGAUGAGUGGCAUUUACACUGCAGUCUGCCCCAGUGAAUGGGGGCUAAAUCGAGACUGGCAGUAGCCAUAGACUGAAGCGAGUUGGGGAUAGAGAGAUUGUGGGGUACUGCAGGGGGCAGAAUCCCAAGAGAAGGGGCACCGGGGACCGGGAGAGACAUGGGAGGCCAGCGGCAAGGCAAGACACCGGCCUGCAGAGGGUGCUCUGGAGGCUGGCGUGCUAAUUCCCUGGAUGACCAGCAGGAGGUGCCGCCCGGCAAGCCUGGACUGAUCUGAAGCAGCUUGGGAGGCUUUGAGUCCUUUUUGGGAUUUCUGGAACAUCCCAACGGAGAACAGGAGCCCGAGGAGAGGCUACUAAGAGCUGGCCUAGCUACACAUUUCGAGACAAGAGCACCAUAAAGACUAUCUGACCAUCCUUGGUAUGGAUACUUUGUAAGAAUACCCUUGUUUGUUUGUUUUGAUAUUGAAUUAUAAGCUGGCCACUGGUUUCAGUACUGCAGAACCCAUCAAAGACUGAGCCUAAAUCCACUAUUUGCUGAGAAA